UGUUUCCUGGGGCUUCCCUGU
rnacentral:miRNA from 1 species